UUCUAAUCACUGCAGAAGAAAAAUCAACAAGGGAAUUGGUGUGGACAACAUGCAUUAUCUUAAUGAUGGUCUUUGGAAGAUGGAGCGAAUGGAUUGAGUUCGCUCAGUAACCGCGGAUGGGUCGCUUCCCCUGGAUUUAUUUUGUUUUGUUUUUGUGGCUAAAGCAUCCUUCAAUUUAGUAGUUUGUAGGAUAAUUUAUUAAAGCUUUGGCUGCAUUAAAAUGAGUUUAUAAUGAAUUUUUUGUUUCUUCAUACAUAGAUGGAUGUGUUUCAACAACUUCAAUUUUGUUCAUGAGAUAGAUUAUAAAGAAUGUCAGGUUUUGGUGAAAUACCAUUUUGGUCAUUAGAAUUUGUUUUUUUA